UACGUAGGGUGCGAACGUUAAUCGGAAUUACUGGGCGUAAAGCGUGCGCAGGCGGUUUUGUAAGCCAGAUGUGAAAUCCCCGGGCUUAACCUGGGAAUGGCAUUUGGGACUGCAAGGCUCGAGUGCGGCAGAGGAGACUGGAAUUCCUGGUGUAGCAGUGAAAUGCGUAGAUAUCAGGAGAAAUACCGAUGGCGAAGGCAGGUCUCUGGGCUGACACUGACGCUCAUGCACGAAAGCGUGGGGAGCAAACAGG
rnacentral:rRNA from 1 species